rnacentral:rRNA from 1 species
GACAGAGGGUGCAAACGUUGCUCGGAAUUACUGGGCGUAAAGCGCGUGUAGGCUGACCGGAAAGUCGGGCGUGAAAUCCCUGGGCUCAACCCAGGAACUGCACUCGAAACUCCCGGUCUUGAGUGGUGGAGAGGGAAGUGGAAUUCCUGGUGUAGAGGUGAAAUUCGUAGAUAUCAGGAGGAACACCAGUGGCGAAGGCGGCUUCCUGGACACCAACUGACGCUGAGACGCGAAAGCUAGGGGAGCAAACAGG